rnacentral:rRNA from 1 species
UACAGGGGGUGCAAACGUUGCUCGGAAUCAUUGGGCGUAAAGCGCACGUAGGCGGUCUGUUAUGUCGGAUGUGAAAGCCCUUGGCUCAACUGAGGAAGUGCAUCCGAAACUGGCAGGCUAGAGUACGAAAGAGGAUCGCGGAAUUCCCGGUGUAGAGGUGAAAUUCGUAGAUAUCAGGAAGAACACCCGUGGCGAAGGCGGCGACCUGGUCCGUGACUGACGCUGAGGCGCGAAAGCGUGGGGAGCGAACAGG